CUAAGAGACUGAGAACUAACUCAUGAAUUGCUCCUGGAAUGGUUUCUGGCACUUAGGAGGAAUGAUAAAUUUUAAAAAUGAAAUUGGAAUGCCAUGCAAAUGGAAACGUUUAUCCUCUAUGAAAGAACAAGGAAUCAUCCCCUUGUAUCUCUGCUUUCAGGCUCCAGACUUCUACAUGUUGAAAUAAACCAAGAGAUCUAGAGAAGGGAAGGCUUUUCUUUAUAAUUGACACAUGGUAAGGAAGCCAGCCAGCAAAGAAACUGCUUUCAGAUUGAGCAGGGAAGGAAUUUUACAGGAGUUUGGUGGUCAAAGCCACUCUGAGGACAGG